UCAUUUCUUUCCUAGACCUGUAGUUGUAAAACAAUCUGCUUGUGUUGUGUAGUUUGUUGAAUAUGGGAAUGAGGGAAGCAUUGUACUACUCCAAGCCUGCUUAGAUCAAGUGAAAAGUUAGAGUAAAGACUUUUAGUCAAAGCCAGAUCUUCUAUCAGCUAUCUGGUGGAUGAUUCAUCUGAUGUCAACUCAUUGAGAAUUGUGGGAGCAGAGAUCAAUAAGAGCCUUCUGGCAUUAAAGGAAUGUAUCUGUGCUCCUGACAAUGAUCAGAUCCAUAUCCCAUUUCAUGGUAGAAAACUCACAAAGGUGCUUCGUGAGUCUUUUAUUGGCAACUCAAGGACUGUCAUGAUUUCUUGUAUUUCCCCAAAUGCAGGUUCUUGUGAACAUACAAUAUUCCAGCUUUGAUAGGAUGAUAUAAUUCCAAGGUUAAGUGCUGCUUCACUAGCUAGGUUGAGGAACGAGAUCCUUCAAACUGAUUGGAUGAGUGUGUUAGAGGGGGAAGACUGGAAGAGGUUUCUGGAGUUGGUUACAAAUGCUAAACAGGUUGUGUCCUCGGUACAAGAUGUAGCACGGAAACUUGCUGAUUAUGCCAAUUUUAAAAACAAGACAAAUGCAUCUGGUAACCUCCACUCUCCUAUCUCCAUCAUAGGCUUGUAAUAAGAUACGUACAAAAGCAAUCAUUUUGAACUUGAUGGACAAAGUUGGAGGAUGUCUCUGUAAUCGAACUUUGUGGAAUGCCCAUUUUCUCUGUGCAUCAAUAUCAUGAAUUUAAAUCUAAAUUGAGAACUAAA